rnacentral:rRNA from 1 species
UACGUAGGGUGCAAGCGUUAAUCGGAAUUACUGGGCGUAAAGCGUGCGCAGGCGGUGAUGUAAGACAGGUGGGAAAUCCCCGGGCUUAACCUGGGAACUGCAUUUGUGACUGCAUCGCUGGAGUGCGGCAGAGGGGGAUGGAAUUCCGCGUGUAGCAGUGAAAUGCGUAGAGAUGUGGAGGAACACCGAUGGCGAAGGCAGCCCCCUGGGCUAACACUGACGCUCAUGCACGAAAGCGUGGGGAGCAAACAGG